AAUAUUGCUCAAUUGGCGGGAGCCUGAACCAGCCAUGCCGCGUGCGGGACGAUGGCCCUAUGGGUCGUAUACCGCUUUUAUACGGGAACAACCGCACUUACGUGUAUCUGUCUGAGUGUACCGUCGGACUACGGAUCGGCUAACUCCGUGCCAGCAGCCGCGGUAAUACGGAGGAUCCGAGCGUUACCCGAAUUUAUCGGGUUUAAAGGGUGCGUAGGCGGCAUUUUAAGUCAGGUGUGAAAUACAGCAGCUCAACCGUUGCAGUGCCUUUGAUACUGAAGUGCUUGAAUGUGAUCGAAGGAGGCGGAACGGAACAAGUAGCGGUGAAAUGCAUAGAUAUGUCCCAGAACCCCGAUUGCGAAGGCAGCUUCCUAGAACAUAAUUGACGCUGAUGCACGAAAGCGUGGGGAUCGAACA
rnacentral:rRNA from 1 species